UAGGGAAUCUUCGGCAAUGGGGGGAACCCUGAACGAGCAACGCCGCGUGAGUGAAGAAGGUUUUCGGAUCGUAAAGCUCUGUUGUUAAGGAAGAACGAGUGUGAGAAUGGAAAGUUCAUGCUGUGACGGUACUUAACCAGAAAGGGACGGCUAACUACGUGCCAGCAGCCGCGGUAAUACGUAGGUCCCGAGCGUUGUCCGGAUUUAUUGGGCGUAAAGCGAGCGCAGGCGGUUAGAAAAGUCUGAAGUGAAAGGCAGUGGCUCAACCAUUGUAGGCUUUGGAAACUGUUUAACUUGAGUGCAGAAGGGGAGAGUGGAAUUCCAGGUGUAGCGGUAAAAUGCGUAGAUAUAUGGAGGAACACCGGUGGCGAAAGCGGCUCUCUGGUCUGUAACUGACGAUGAGGCUCGAAAGCGUGGGGAGCGAACAGG
rnacentral:rRNA from 1 species